AUUGAACGCUGGCGGCAUGCCUUACACAUGCAAGUCGAACGGUAACAGGUCUUCGGAUGCUGACGAGUGGCGAACGGGUGAGUAAUACAUCGGAACGUGCCUAGUAGUGGGGGAUAACUACUCGAAAGAGUGGCUAAUACCGCAUGAGAUCUACGGAUGAAAGCAGGGGAUCGCAAGACCUUGUGCUACUAGAGCGGCCGAUGGCAGAUUAGGUUGUUGGUGGGAUAAAGGCUUACCAAGCCGACGAUCUGUAGCUGGUCUGAGAGGACGAUCAGCCACACUGGGACUGAGACACGGCCCAGACUCCUACGGGAGGCAGCAGUGGGGAAUUUUGGACAAUGGGCGAAAGCCUGAUCCAGCAAUGCCGCGUGCAGGAUGAAGGCCUUCGGGUUGUAAACUGCUUUUGUACGGAACGAAAAGCCCCGGGUUAAUACCCUGGGGUCAUGACGGUACCGUAAGAAUAAGCACCGGCUAACUACGUGCCAGCAGCCGCGGUAA
rnacentral:rRNA from 1 species